rnacentral:rRNA from 1 species
GACGAACGCUGGCGGCGUGCUUAACACAUGCAAGUCGAACGGAAAGGCCCUGCUUUUGUGGGGUGCUCGAGUGGCGAACGGGUGAGUAACACGUGGGUAACCUGCCCUUGACUUUGGGAUAACUUCAGGAAACUGGGGCUAAUACCGGAUAGGAGCUCCUGCUGCAUGGUGGGGGUUGGAAAGUCUCGGCGGUUGGGGAUGGACUCGCGGCUUAUCAGCUUGUUGGUGGGGUAGUGGCUUACCAAGGCUUUGACGGGUAGCCGGCCUGAGAGGGUGACCGGCCACAUUGGGACUGAGAUACGGCCCAGACUCCUACGGGAGGCAGCAGUGGGGAAUAUUGCACAAUGGGCGGAAGCCUGAUGCAGCAACGCCGCGUGCGGGAUGACGGCCUUCGGGUUGUAAACCGCUUUCGCCUGUGACGAAGCGUGAGUGACGGUAAUGGGUAAAGAAGCACCGGCUAACUACGUG